UUAGUAGAGGAGAGAGUGACUAAUUCUGCUAGGGGUGGUAGGAGGAGGGAUGGCAUGCUGGGAGGAGUGCCAGGUCAGCAAAGCCUUCACAGCAGAUGUCAAAUAGCUAUCAGGGACAGCAGACCAAACAGCGUGGGCAAAGGCAUGGGGGUGGGCGAUGGCCUGGCAUCGCCCUGGCAUGCUUGCUGUUUGCUACUGUUGAUAUAUGGAGUAAACAGGGGAAGGGUGGCAGGAGACGAGUGUGCACAGAACCAGGAAGCGAUCCAACGGAGGAAGAAUUCGAUUCUAUGAACUGGUCAUACCCGGGAGUUUGUGUUCAGACGCUGUGUUUGGGGACCCCAGAUCUGAGCUCCAAAGGUGGCUGGGGAAGCAAAAGACGCACCAUGAAGUAGAACUGCUCCGUCUCCUGCUGGUUUGCUCUUCUCUUGGCGAUGCUGGGCUUACUCAGGCUGAAUGAAAAGACUCAGAACCCCAGAGGUGACAUCAGCAAGACGGCAAAAUAGGAGGUUCCCCUGCACAUAUUCCUCCGUGCCCUGCUGCGACAGUAAUCUGGCGGCCAUUGAUGGACAAAAGUGCACUUGUGGGAGCUUUGGGAUCCAGAGUGCCAUGGUUAAAUUUGGAAUUGUCAGAAAGAAUAAAGGAUGUGACAGAAAACACCAGACAGGAUGGCUGGGACUACAUACUAUCCCAUGGGAUGUUCUCAACGAAGAAUAACACCAG